GUAUAAAUGACCCCACUGAUUGCUUUCCAAGCUUCUUCCAGAAGAAUGGAUAUAGUGCUAUUUCCUAAAAGGAAUGGAUUUUAUUCAGAAUGCAUGGUCUUUCCUGGAGAACAGGAGUCCCUAGAGAACAAGUAAGGAAAAUGCUUCAUUAGAUGCUGCUACUCAACAGUGGAUUUGCUUACAAUAAUAAAACAAUAAAAACUAUUCAUCUGAAA